rnacentral:rRNA from 1 species
CCUACGUGAGUCAGCAGUGAGGAAUAUUGGUCAAUGGGCGGAAGCCUGAACCAGCCAAGUAGCGUGCGGGAUGAAGGCCCUACGGGUCGUAAACCGCUUUUGCACGGGGAUAACACCCUCCACUUGUGGAGGUCUGCAGGUACCGUGCGAAUAAGGGCCGGCUAAUACCGUGCCAGCAGCCGCGGUAAUACGGAAGGACCGAGCGUUAUCCGGAUUCCUUGGGCUUAACGGGAGCGUAGGCGGGCGUGCAACUCAGCUGUAAAAUCGCGCGGCUCAACCGCGCCCCGCAGUUGACACUGGACGCCUUGAGUUCACAACAGGCAGGCGGAAUUCGUGGGGUAGCGGUGAAAUGCAUAGAUAUCACGAGGAACCCCGAUUGCGAGGGCAGCCUGCCGGGGUGCGACUGACGCUGAGGCUCGAAGGUGCGGGUAUCAAACAGGAUUAGAUACCCGGGUAGUC